rnacentral:rRNA from 1 species
UACGAAGGGGGCUAGCGUUGCUCGGAAUUACUGGGCGUAAAGGGCGCGUAGGCGGACAGUUUAGUCAGAAGUUAAAGCCCAGGGCUCAACCUUGGAAUCGCUUUUGAUACUGACUGUCUUGAGUACGGGAGAGGUGUGUGGAACUCCGAGUGUAGAGGUGAAAUUCGUAGAUAUUCGGAAGAACACCAGUGGCGAAGGCGACACACUGGCCCGUUACUGACGCUGAGGCGCGAAAGCGUGGGGAGCAAACAGG